rnacentral:rRNA from 1 species
UACAGAGGUGGCAAGCGUUGUUCGGAAUUACUGGGCGUAAAGCGCACGUAGGCGGCUUUGUAAGUUAGAGGUGAAAGCCCGGAGCUCAACUCCGGAAUUGCCUUUAAGACUGCAUCGCUAGAAUUGUGGAGAGGUGAGUGGAAUUCCGAGUGUAGAGGUGAAAUUCGUAGAUAUUCGGAAGAACACCAGUGGCGAAGGCGACUCACUGGACACAUAUUGACGCUGAGGUGCGAAAGCGUGGGGAGCAAACAGG